CACUCCUGCGGGAGGCAGCAGUGGGGAAUAUUGCACCAUGGGCGCAAGCCUGAUGCAGCCAUGCCGCGUGUAUGAAGAAGGCCUUCGGGUUGUAAAGUACUUUCAGCGGGGAGGAAGGCAAUACGGUUAAUAACCGUGUUGAUUGACGUUACCCGCAGAAGAAGCACCGGCUAACUCCGUGCCAGCAGCCGCGGUAAUACGGAGGGUGCAAGCGUUAAUCGGAAUUACUGGGCGUAAAGCGCACGCAGGCGGUCUGUCAAGUCGGAUGUGAAAUCCCCGGGCUCAACCUGGGAACUGCAUGCGAAACUGGCAGGCUUGAGUCUUGUAGAGGGGGGUAGAAUUCCAGGUGUAGCGGUGAAAUGCGUAGAGAUCUGGAGGAAUACCGGUGGCGAAGGCGGCCCCCUGGACAAAGACUGACGCUCAGGUGCGAAAGCGUGGGGAGCAAACAGGAUUAGAUACCCCAGUAGUCCCA
rnacentral:rRNA from 1 species